GAUGAACGCUGGCGGCGUGCCUAAUACAUGCAAGUCGAGCGAACAGAUGAGGAGCUUGCUCCUCUGACGUUAGCGGCGGACGGGUGAGUAACACGUGGAUAACCUACCUAUAAGACUGGGAUAACUUCGGGAAACCGGAGCUAAUACCGGAUAAUAUAUUGAACCGCAUGGUUCAAUAGUGAAAGACGGUUUUGCUGUCACUUAUAGAUGGAUCCGCGCCGCAUUAGCUAGUUGGUAAGGUAACGGCUUACCAAGGCAACGAUGCGUAGCCGACCUGAGAGGGUGGUCGGCCACACGGGAACUGAGACACGGUCCAGACUCCUACGGGAGGCAGCAGUAGGGAAUCUUCCGCAAUGGGCGAAAGCCUGACGGAGCAACGCCGCGUGAGUGAUGAAGGUCUUCGGAUCGUAAAACUCUGUUAUUAGGGAGGAACAAAUGUGUAAGUAACUAUGCACGUCUUGACGGUACCUAAUCAGAAAGCCACGGCUAACUACGUG
rnacentral:rRNA from 1 species